CCUACGGGUGGCAGCAGUGAGGAAUAUUGGUCAAUGGACGAGAGUCUGAACCAGCCAAGUCGCGUGAAGGAUGACUGCCCUAUGGGUUGUAAACUUCUUUUAUAUGGGAAUAAAACGUUCCACGUGUGGGAUUUUGUAUGUACCAUAUGAAUAAGGAUCGGCUACCUCCGUGCCAGCAGCCGCGGUAAUACGGAGGAUCCGAGCGUUAUCCGGAUUUAUUGGGUUUAAAGGGAGCGUAGGUGGAUUGUUAAGUCAGUUGUGAAAGUUUGCGGCUCAACCGUAAAAUUGCAGUUGAAACUGGCAGUCUUGAGUACAGUAGAGGUGGGCGGAAUUCGUGGUGUAGCGGUGAAAUGCUUAGAUAUCACGAAGAGCUCCGAUUGCGAAGGCAGUUCACUGGACUGCAACUGACACUGAGGCUCGAAAGUGUGGGUAUCAAACAGGAUUAGAUACCCGUGUAGUC
rnacentral:rRNA from 1 species